UACGAGGGGGGGCAAGCGUUUGUUCGGAAUUAUUGGGCGUAAAGGGUGCGUAGGCGGUUUGGUAAGUCUGAUGUGAAAUCUAUGGGCUCAACUCAUAGUCUGCAUCGGAAACUGCCGGGCUUGAGUGUGGGAGAGGUGAGUGGAAUUCCUGGUGUAGCGGUGAAAUGCGUAGAUAUCAGGAGGAACACCUGUGGCGAAAGCGGCUCACUGGACCAUAACUGACGCUGAUGCACGAAAGCUAGGGGAGCAAACAGG
rnacentral:rRNA from 1 species